rnacentral:tRNA from 1 species
CAAAGUAUAGCUUAACUUAAAGCACCUUGUUUACACCAAGAUAAUGUUCCCUAACCGAAACUCCUUUGAG